UUAGGGCAGCGACCCAUCCUCCCCCCAGGUCCAUCCUCCUGGGAGGCCAGGAACAGAAGCAGCUGUCAGCCAACCUCUGCAGGAGGCCCCAGCCCGGGAGGGGUGAAGGCACAGAGGACAGAACCGUGGGCAGGUCAGCCACAGCAAGAUAUCAGCAUUUCCAGGGAGAACAAACACAAAGUCUGACUUAGGAGGAA